rnacentral:rRNA from 1 species
AGAGUUUGAUCCUGGCUCAGAUUGAACGCUGGCGGCAUGCUUUACACAUGCAAGUCGAACGGCAGCACGGGCUUCGGCCUGGUGGCGAGUGGCGAACGGGUGAGUAAUGCGUCGGAACGCGCCGAGUAGUGGGGGAUAACGCAGCGAAAGCUAUGCUAAUACCGCAUACGUACUGAGGUAGAAAGUGGGGGACCUUCGGGCCUCACGCUAUUCGAGCGGCCGACGUCUGAUUAGCUAGUUGGUGGGGUAAAGGCUCACCAAGGCGACGAUCAGUAGCGGGUCUGAGAGGAUGAUCCGCCACACUGGGACUGAGACACGGCCCAGACUCCUACGGGAGGCAGCAGUGGGGAAUUUUGGACAAUGGGCGCAAGCCUGAUCCAGCCAUGCCGCGUGUCUGAAGAAGGCCUUCGGGUUGUAAAGGACUUUUGUCCGGGAGCAAAGCCUACUUGUUA